rfam:Erinaceus europaeus unplaced genomic scaffold scaffold00001, whole genome shotgun sequence
GUACUCAAUUUGGAAGUACAUAUACUAAAAAUUAGAAAACAAUACAGAGAUUAGCAUGGCCCCUGGACAAGGGUGACAAAAAAAAAAUUUGUGAAACUUUCCAUAUUUCU